UACGUAGGGUGCAAGCGUUGUCCGGAAUUAUUGGGCGUAAAGAGCUCGUAGGCGGUCUGUCGCGUCGAAUGUGAAAACCCGGGGCUCAACCCCGGGCCUGCAUUCGAUACGGGCAGACUAGAGUUCGGUAGGGGAGUCUGGAAUUCCUGGUGUAGCGGUGAAAUGCGCAGAUAUCAGGAGGAACACCGGUGGCGAAGGCGGGUCUCUGGGCCGAAACUGACGCUGAGGAGCGAAAGCGUGGGGAGCGAACAGG
rnacentral:rRNA from 1 species